AAUAAGUGACAGCUAACUAUGUGCCAGCAGCUGCGGUAAAACAUAGGUCACGAGCAUUAUCCGGAUUUAUUGGGCGUAAAGGAAGCGUAGGCGGACAAAUUGAUCUAUUGUUAAAGGCACUUGCUCAACGAGUUGUUUGUGAUAGAUAUCGUUUGUCUAGAAUUAGUUAGGAGAUACUGGAAUUCAAUGUGUAGCGGUGGAAUGCGUAGAUAUAUUGAGGAACACCAGAGGCUAAGGCGAGUAUCUAGGACAUAAUUGACGCUGAGGCUUGAAAGCGUGGGGAGCAAAUGGGAUUAGAUACCCCAGUAGUCCACGCCGUAAACGAUGGGUAUUAGGUAUUUGGUCUAGGACUGAGUGCUGUAGCUAACGCGUUAAAUACCCCGCCUGGGUAGUAUAUAUGCAAAUAUGAAACUCAAAGAAAUUGACGGGGACCUG
rnacentral:rRNA from 1 species